rnacentral:rRNA from 1 species
UGAACGCUGGCGGCGUGCCUUACACAUGCAAGUCGGAUGUGUCGCAAGACACAUGGCAGACGGGUGAGUAACACGUGGGAAACUUACCUCUUAGUGGGGAAUAACGCUCCGAAAGGAGCGGUAAUACCGCAUAAGACCUAUCGCUGGGAUGCGAUAGAUGAAAGCUGGGGAUCGUAAGACCUAGCGCUGAGAGAGAGUCCUGCGUCUGAUUAGUUAGUUGGUGAGGUAACGGCUCACCAAGACUUCGAUCAGUAGCCGGCCUGAGAGGGCGAUCGGCCACACUGGAACUGAGACACGGUCCAGACUCCUACGGGAGGCAGCAGUGGGGAAUCUUGCGCAAUGGGCGAAAGCCUGACGCAGCAACGCCGCGUGGGUGAUGAAGGUCUUCGGAUUGUAAAACCCUGUCGUUAGGGACGAAGGUAUGAAUCCUAAUACGGUUCAUGCUUGACGGUACCUAGAAACGGAAGCCCCGGCUAACUCUGUG